rnacentral:rRNA from 1 species
UACGUAGGGUGCAAGCGUUGCUCGGAAUUACUGGGCGUAAAGCGUGCGCAGGCGGUUUUGUAAGUCUGACGUGAAAUCCCCUGGCUCAACCUGGGAAUUGCGUUGGAGACUGCAAGGCUAGAAUCUGGCAGAGGGGGGUAGAAUUCCACGUGUAGCAGUGAAAUGCGUAGAGAUGUGGAGGAACACCGAUGGCGAAGGCAGCCCCCUGGGUCAAGAUUGACGCUCAUGCACGAAAGCGUGGGGAGCAAACAGG